GCCGGGUGUGGUGGUGCGCGCCUGUAAUCCCAGUGGCUUGGGAGGCUGAGGUAGGAGGAUGGAAAGUUAAAAGCUGGCCUCAGCAAUUUAGCGGUACCCUGCCUCAA
rnacentral:sRNA from 1 species